ACUCCUACGGGAGGCAGCAGUGGGGAAUAUUGCACAAUGGGGGAAACCCUGAUGCAGCGACGCCGCGUGAGCGAUGAAGUAUUUCGGUAUGUAAAGCUCUAUCAGCAGGGAAGAAACUGACGGUACCUGACUAAGAAGCACCGGCUAAAUACGUGCCAGCAGCCGCGGUAAUAC
rnacentral:rRNA from 1 species